rnacentral:rRNA from 1 species
UCGCUUACAGAUGGGCCCGCGGUGCAUUAGCUAGUUGGUAGGGUAAUGGCCUACCAAGGCAACGAUGCAUAGCCGACCUGAGAGGGUGAUCGGCCACACUGGGACUGAGACACGGCCCAGACUCCUACGGGAGGCAGCAGUAGGGAAUCUUCCGCAAUGGACGAAAGUCUGACGGAGCAACGCCGCGUGUAUGAAGAAGGUUUUCGGAUCGUAAAGUACUGUUGUUAGAGAAGAACAAGGAUAAGAGUAACUGCUUGUCCCUUGACGGUAUCUAACCAGAAAGCCACGGCUAACUACGUGCCAGCAGCCGCGGUAAUACGUAGGUGGCAAGCGUUGUCCGGAUUUAUUGGGCGUAAAGCGCGCGCAGGCGGUCUUUUAAGUCUGAUGUGAAAGCCCCCGGC